CAAAUUAGUUUGCGACGCGAACCUGUUGCGCAGGGGGGUUAGUCUAUUGUUCAAGAUCAAGGUGUUAACGUCUAUUACGUCGCAUGACAGUAAUUAACUGCGUAACACUUUCAUUAUUGUCUUUCUAUCAUUUAUACUUACGUUACUGUUGAGCUUAUUUAAUAAGUGUUAUUGGUUGAUUUCGAAGAAAAAUUCGAAGUAUUAGAGGGACGCCACGAAAUUCAAAAAGAGACGCCAUCUUGAUUCGAGAUAAAAUCGUUUAACUUUUCAUGGACAAAGGACAAUAUUUGAUUUUCCUGAUACUUUUCAAUCUUCAAUACUUUGACGGAAUUCGAUGAUUUCUAUUGGAUGACUGAUUCCCUUGGGCUACAAUUUCAAAGAUGAUAACGUUCUUUGCGAAGUGUUCUUUAAUUUACAUUGUGGCAUCACCAGAAGACGAUUCAUAUUCUACAUUAUGUCUAACAUAAUGUCCCAUUCCUUUCUAUUUUUGUAUG